rnacentral:rRNA from 1 species
UACAGAGGGUGCGAGCGUUAAUCGGAAUUACUGGGCGUAAAGCGUGCGUAGACGGUUAUGUAAGUCAGGUGUGAAAGCCCCGGGCUCAACCUGGGAAUGCCAUUUGAGACUGCAUAGCUAGGGUACGGAAGAGGGAAGCGGAAUUUCAGGUGUAGCGGUGAAAUGCGUAGAUAUCUGAAGGAACACCAGUGGCGAAAGCGGCUUCCUGGUCCAGUACCGACGUUCAGGCACGAAAGCGUGGGGAGCAAACAGG